UCAGGACGAACGCUGGCGGCGUGCCUAAUACAGCAAGUCGAGCGAAUCGAAGGGAGCUUGCUCCCUGAGAUUAGCGGCGGACGGGUGAGUAACACGUGGGCAACCUGCCUAUAAGACUGGGAUAACUUCGGGAAACCGGAGCUAAUACCGGAUACGUUCUUUUCUCGCAUGAGAGAAGAUGGAAAGACGGUUUACGCUGUCACUUAUAGAUGGGCCCGCGGCGCAUUAGCUAGUUGGUGAGGUAAUGGCUCACCAAGGCGACGAUGCGUAGCCGACCUGAGAGGGUGAUCGGCCACACUGGGACUGAGACACGGCCCAGACUCCUACGGGAGGCAGCAGUAGGGAAUCUUCCGCAAUGGACGAAAGUCUGACGGAGCAACGCCGCGUGAACGAAGAAGGCCUUCGGGUCGUAAAGUUCUGUUGUUAGGGAAGAACAAGUAC
rnacentral:rRNA from 1 species